UGGCUCAGGAUGAACGCUGGCGGCGUGCUUAACACAUGCAAGUCGAACGGACAUUUAAUGAAACCUAGUGAUUUAAAUGUUAGUGGCGGACGGGUGAGUAACGCGUGGGUAACCUGCCUUACACUGGGGGAUAACACUUAGAAAUAGGUGCUAAUACCGCAUAAGCGCACAGCUUUGCAUGAAGCAGUGUGAAAAACUCCGGUGGUGUAAGAUGGACCCGCGUCUGAUUAGCUAGUUGGUGAGGUAAUGGCUCACCAAGGCGACGAUCAGUAGCCGGCCUGAGAGGGUGAACGGCCACAUUGGGACUGAGACACGGCCCAAACUCCUACGGGAGGCAGCAGUGGGGAAUAUUGGACAAUGGGGGAAACCCUGAAUCCAGCGACGCCGCGUGAGUGAAGAAGUAUUUCGGUAUGUAAAGCUCUAUCAGCAGGGAAGAAAAUGACGGUACCUGACUAAGAAGCCCCGGCUAACUACGUGCCAGCCGCUGC
rnacentral:rRNA from 1 species